rnacentral:lncRNA from 1 species
GGAGCCCCCGGCGCGCUCGGGCCCGGCGGGCAGAGCUCCGCACCCGCGGAGCCCCGGCGGGGCGGGCAGAGGCGCAGCCCCGGGACCCCCGACCCGCUCCCGAGUUCCAAAAUGACCUUUCCCUGCAUCGUUUUGGAGCAGAAAUAAAAGAAGGCUUGCAGCUACCAGAAAGUCAUUAAGGCAUUAGUUUCUCUGAGAAGACAGAUCUGAAGAAAAUUCAAGAAAAUGAGAAAAUAGAUCUAAAUAAGGUGGAGUUGAAUACAGUGGUUAACUACAAGCAAUAUGUUCUGAAGAUGGUGGUGUUCAGACAAAUACCCAAUUUGAUUCUGAUAAAUUGGAUGCAAGACUUUGACCAGCAUGAGAAGAACAGUGUCUUUCAGAUGAAGAAAGUGAAAUCCUUUCUUGCCCCUGGUGUCUGAGCA